AUCUAGACAUGGAUGGGUGCAUGCAUGGAUAGAUGGAUAGAGAUGUCUAGGGAUGGAUUGAUGGAUGGAUGGGUGGACAGAAGUAUCUAGAGAUGGAUGGUGCAGGCAUUGAUGAAUCAAUGGAGGUUCUAGGAAUUGAUGGAUGGAUGGUUUGUGGUCAUUGAUGAAUGGAGGGGUGAAUGGGGAUGGGCAGAUGGAUGGAUGCAUCUAGAGAUGGAUGAAUGGAAGGAGGGAUGUGUCUAGGGAUGGAAUGAUGGAUCGUUUGUUGUCACAGAUGGAUGGAUGUAUCCAGAGAUAGAUGAGUGAAGGGAUGGAAGGAUGGGUAGAGAAGGCGGGUUGGUGUUGAUCGCACAAUCCGAGCUCUCUCUGUCUCAGUGGCUGAGUCGGAGCUGAUGUCUCUUUCUCUCUGCUCAACAGAGGUGAUCGUGUCAGGUGAGUUUUGCAGUGAGGAUGGAGACGAGGACUUAGACGGUCUCUGGGCCACCAUCUCGGUCUUCAUCACCCUUUUCCUCUUGAGCGUGUGCUACAGCGCCACCGUGACCCUGUUCAAGGUGAAGUGGCUUUUCUCCACCGUGGUGCAGCUGAAGCGCACGAGGGGGCCUGAGUACAAGAACGUGAUCCAGCGCGUGGUGUAGGAGCUGCUGCCCUCAUCCGCCCGGAGACAAGGGGCCAGGACUCCCGGCUCCAUUGGCGACACCGCCCUGAGUCCCACAGCUGCCCCGCACCAGCGCUGUGCCCCGGGAGAGCCCCUGAGGGGAGCAAGGAGCUCACCCCACAUGGCCUAAUCAGCCCUCAGCCACUGGGGACGCUGCCCUGCUCGGAGCUGGGCUAAGGCUGGACCACUCGUAUCAUGCAGGGAACCAGUGCCCCUAUCGAGGAAACAAUCCCUCUCCCCCUUCCCACCGUCCUGAGCCCAACAGUCCCUGCUCUGGGCUGGAUCAGAGCCAGCGCCCCCUAGAGGGAAAGGCCACAUGUCCCAUUCCCCCACCCUGGGGCUAGAUUGGAGCUGGUGCCCCCUAGUGGGUAAGGGCCCUGUGCCCCAUUCCCUGUCCCCCUGAGCCAGCCAGCCCCCCACUGGGGCCGGAUCACAAAUGGCUUUGUCUCUGUUGCUCUGAAUGUUGCGCAUUUAGCUCCCGGCUGU